GAUGAACGCUGGCGGCGUGCCUAAUACAUGCAAGUUGAGCGAAUGGAUUAAGAGCUUGCUCUUAUGAAGUUAGCGGCGGACGGGUGAGUAACACGUGGGUAACCUGCCCAUAAGACUGGGAUAACUCCGGGAAACCGGGGCUAAUACCGGAUAACAUUUUGAACCGCAUGGUUCGAAAUUGAAAGGCGGCUUCGGCUGUCACUUAUGGAUGGACCCGCGUCGCAUUAGCUAGUUGGUGAGGUGACGGCUCACCAAGGCAACGAUGCGUAGCCGACCUGAGAGGGUGAUCGGCCACACUGGGACUGAGACACGGCCCAGACUCCUACGGGAGGCAGCAGUAGGGAAUCUUCCGCAAUGGACGAAAGUCUGACGGAGCAACGCCGCGUGAGUGAUGAAGGCUUUCGGGUCGUAAAACUCUGUUGUUAGGGAAGAACAAGUGCUAGUUGAAUAAGCUGGCACCUUGACGGUACCUAACCAGAAGGCCACGGCUAACUACGUGCCAGCCGCCGCCGUAA
rnacentral:rRNA from 1 species